rnacentral:miRNA from 1 species
CGGACAUAAGGUAAUAUCCGACGG